AUAAAGACGAUGAAGAGAAAAAGUAAGAGAAUUGAUUUUAGAACAGAGAGCUUCGGUAGCUGAAAAGAAGUUAAAAUCAUCAUCUGAACAAUGGUCUCGGAGUUGCGGACUGAAAGUUAUUUAUUCGAGUAGGUUACGACGAGAUUUGGUACUCGUUAUCUAUACCACAGUAUAAAAGUCAGUUCCAUCGACUUUCGUACUUGCUGAGGCUGUUUUACGUGAGUAAAACAGUAAAUUAAGGUGGUACCACGUGAAUUCCAACCACGUCCUUAUC
rnacentral:ncRNA from 1 species